rnacentral:rRNA from 1 species
UACGUAGGGGGCAAGCGUUGUCCGGAAUCAUUGGGCGUAAAGAGCGUGUAGGCGGCCCGAUAAGUCCGCUGUGAAAGUCCAGGGCUCAACCCUGGAAUGCCGGUGGAUACUGUCGGGCUCGAAUCCGGAAGAGGUGAGUGGAAUUCCUGGUGUAGCGGUGAAAUGCGCAGAUAUCAGGAGGAACACCGGUGGCGAAGGCGGGUCUCUGGGCCGAUACUGACGCUGGAGGAGCGAAAGCGUGGGGAGCGAACAGG